UUCCCUUUACAAGGUUUCAUGGUUCACUCUUUUUUUGUGUACAAGGUAAUUACUUGGAAGAUAAUAUAAAUGAUUACAACUUUAGAUGUCAUUGUACCCUAAUCAAGUUAUAAUGAACUACAAUGUAAAUUUGUUACUCUUUAUUUAAUGGAAAGAAACUUUUAAUUGUCAAAAACAUUUUUUAUCCGAAGAUUAAAUAGUGGGAAGUUUGAAAAUUAAUUUGAAAACUAGUUACAAACUAUUUAGUUUAAUUUGGAACACAACAUUUCUUCAAAUAGCCAGUAGCAAUUUGUAUUUCAAUAUCUUGAUUACGAUACAAUGAAAUCUUACCCUUGUGGUCAUCCAUGCGGAGUUACUUAGUACACGAAAAAGUAUGUACUAUGAAAGUUAGAAGACAAAUUCAAGCAAUUUGAUUGGACGAAAAGUUGUAAGUAUGUGCUAA
rnacentral:lncRNA from 1 species